GGCCUCGUGGCGCAACGGUAGCGCGUUCGACUCCAGAUCGAAAGGUUAUCCGUUGUAAGUAAUCCAUUCAAACCAAUGGUUA